AGCAGCCGCGGUAAUUCCAGCUCCAAUAGCGUAUAUUAAAGUUGCUGCAGUUAAAAAGCUCGUAGUUGAAUUUCGGGAUCGAUAUAUCGGUCGUACCUCGGUACGUACUGGUAUUUUCGGUUUCUCCCUUCUGACGAACCUUGAUGUCAUUAAUUUGGUGUCUUGGGAAUCAGGACUGUUACUUUGAAAAAAUUAGAGUGUUUAAAGCAGGCUCACGCUUGAAUACAUUAGCAUGGAAUAAUGAAAUAGGACGUUUGAUUCUAUUUUGUUGGUUUCUAGGAUCGACGUAAUGAUUAAUAGGGAUAGUUGGGGGCAUUAGUAUUCAAUUGUCAGAGGUGAAAUUCUUGGAUUUAUUGAAGACUAACUACUGCGAAAGCAUUUGCCAAGGAUGUUUUCAUUAAUCAAGAACGAAAGUUAGGGGAUCGAAGACGAUCAGAUACCGUCGUAGUCUUAACCAUAAACUAUGCCGACUAGGGAUCGGAUGAUGUUAAUUUUUAAUGACUCAUUCGGCGCCUUACGG
rnacentral:rRNA from 1 species